AUGAGAUCGUGCCCAAGAAGCCAGCAGAGGAAGGAAAUGAUUCGAAGGGAAUGUCAGAAGCAUCUGGCCCACAAAAUGAAGGGAAACAGCUGUGCCCCCCAGGAAAACCAAGUACCUCUGAGAAGAUUAACAAGACACCUGGAAAUAUGGAGGCCCAAGAAAAGGAAGAGAGAAGAGAAGAGCUCAUCGGUGGAGCAGUCAGAACACACACAACAUUCAUCGAUUAAGUUUGUUAUCGUCUAUGGGUGCAGUUCCUGGUACCCCCCAAACAAUUACACACAACAGGGUGAUUAUAGGCAAUAAUAACUUUAUCGUACAUUUAAACAAAACUAAAAGAGUGUAAAUGGAUUGUUUGUAACACAAGGAUAAAUGUUUGAGGGCAUGGAGACCCUAUUUUCCAUGAUGUGAUUAUUACGCAUGGCAUGCCAGUAUCAAAGCAUCUCACGUACCCCAUAAGAAUAUACACCUACUGUGUACCCACAAAAAUAAAAAACAAAAAUUAAAAGCCUAAAAAACAACAAAGACAAUGACUCAUUAAAAACGGUGACUUAUGCUGUAAUCCCAGCACUUUGGGCGGCUGAGGCAAGCAGAUCACUUGAGGUCAGGGUUCCGAGACCAGCCUGGCCUACGUGGCGAAACCCCGAUCUCUACUAAAUAUACAAAAAUUAGCUGGCUGUGGUGGCUUGAGCCUGUGAAUCCCAGUUAGUACAGGGGCUGAGGCAGGAGAAUCCCUUGAACCUGGGAGACAGAUGCUGCAGCGAGCUGAUA
rnacentral:lncRNA from 1 species